rnacentral:rRNA from 1 species
GGCGGCAGGCCUAACACAUGCAAGUCGAGCGGAAACGAGUUAUCUGAACCUUCGGGGAACGAUAACGGCGUCGAGCGGCGGACGGGUGAGUAAUGCCUAGGAAAUUGCCCUGAUGUGGGGGAUAACCAUUGGAAACGAUGGCUAAUACCGCAUAAUGCCUACGGGCCAAAGAGGGGGACCUUCGGGCCUCUCGCGUCAGGAUAUGCCUAGGUGGGAUUAGCUAGUUGGUGAGGUAAGGGCUCACCAAGGCGACGAUCCCUAGCUGGUCUGAGAGGAUGAUCAGCCACACUGGAACUGAGACACGGUCCAGACUCCUACGGGAGGCAGCAGUGGGGAAUAUUGCACAAUGGGCGCAAGCCUGAUGCAGCCAUGCCGCGUGUGUGAAGAAGGCCUUCGGGUUGUAAAGCACUUUCAGUCGUGAGGAAGGUAGUGUAGUUAAUAGCUGCAUUAUUUGACGUUAGCGACAGAAGAAGCACCGGCUAACUCCGUGCCAGCAGCCGCGGUAAUACGGAGGGUGCGAGCGUUAAUCGGAAUUACUGGGCGUAAAGCGCAUGCAGGUGGUUUGUUAAGUCAGAUGUGAAAGCCCGGGGCUCAACCUCGGAAUUGCAUUUGAAACUGGCAGACUAGAGUACUGUAGAGGGGGGUAGAAUUUCAGGUGUAGCGGUGAAAUGCGUAGAGAUCUGAAGGAAUACCGGUGGCGAAGGCGGCCCCCUGGACAGAUACUGACACUCAGAUGCGAAAGCGUGGGGAGCAAACAGGAUUAGAUACCCUGGUAGUCCACGCCGUAAACGAUGUCUACUUGGAGGUUGUGGCCUUGAGCCGUGGCUUUCGGAGCUAACGCGUUAAGUAGACCGCCUGGGGAGUACGGUCGCAAGAUUAAAACUCAAAUGAAUUGACGGGGGCCCGCACAAGCGGUGGA